rnacentral:pre_miRNA from 1 species
AUUCUACUCCCUCCGUCCCAAAUUUUUUGUCUUAGAUUUGUCUAAAUACGGAUGUAUCAAGUCACAUUUUAGUAUUAGAUACAUCCGUAUCUAGACAAAUCUAAGACAAGAAUUUUGGGACGGAGGGAGUAGAUG